GGUAAUUUCGUAUCCUCGGCUGAUUCGUCAUAUGUGCGUGGCCGAACUAAAAUAAUGCCUUCCUGUCGUUCCUUUGUGUCCCCUUGUCCAGUAGGAGACAGAAGUUCAAACUGUCCAGACAUUAGUCUACAUUUUCCAAAGCCUAUCUUUUUUGGAGCCGUUGUCACGCUAAUUGUUUCUGUUGAAAUGGAUUUUAGAUUGCUACUUCUCUGUUGUCUUUAUAUCGCUGUUGUGGCAGCAGCUUUUCCAUCAGAAACGAGGAAUAUAGAGAAACGUGAUGUCAUGGAAUCCAUGAAGAAUGCUUGGAACGAAGUCGUGAAGACCCUAAGCGAUGCUGGCGAUGCGGUCGUUCACGUAUUCAAGCCAACAGAAAAGAGUGUCAUCGAUAAAAUGGCAGAUAGUGUUAAGAGCUUGACGCAAUAACCGGUUUAAUUGAUUUCAACACCUUAUAAUUACAACAGCAAUAUCGUUGUGGAUGAAUUGUGUCGUUGGGAUCACCAAAUUUUAUUAAUUAAUCGAAACAAACAUAUUUUAGAUCAAAAUACAUGGUAAUAAUUGUUUCUGUACACUUCUUCCCCCGCGAUGAUAUUUUAAGACUGUUGUCUCAUGUGAACAGUUUGAAUUUGUUUAAUAUUAUUAUAUUAAUCGUAUUUUAUUGUCUUUUAAUUUAAUGUUUUACUGAAUUUACCUACGUUUAAUAUUCAAGAACGUUUAAUGGUAUUCAUUCUUUCAAUUUGCUCACGAUAUCUUUGUAUUAGAUAUAAACAUGUAUAAACCACACAUUUUUCCUUGUCUGUAGCAAUAGUUUGAAUUUAGUGAAUGAAACAUAUAUUUUUUUAAAUUGCUCAAUCGCAUAAAAUUAAUAUCUAUUGAUUUAAUGAAUAAAAGAAUUAAACGAUUGUUAUUUGUAA